AUAGCUCAUGUAGUAGAGCACAUGCUUAGCAUGCAUGAGGUCCUGGGUUCAAUCCCCAGU
rnacentral:tRNA from 1 species